UUUUAGGUCGAGUAAUUGGAAUGAGUACAAUUUAAAUCCCUUAACAAGUAUCAAUUGGAGGGCAAGUCUGGUGCCAGCAGCCGCGGUAAUUCCAGCUCCAAGAGCGUAUAUUAAAGUUGUUGCAGUUAAAAAGCUCGUAGUUGGAUUUCUGGUCUGACAGGCGUGGCCCGUGUUCGUAAGAAUUAUGAGUGCCGCUGCGUGUCAACCAUCCUUCUAGCUAACAUUUCUACCCUUAACUGGGCCGGAUUUGUGAACUAGAUCUUUUACUUUGAAAAAAUUAGAGUGUUUAAGGCAGGCUUUUGCUGUGAAUACAUUAGCAUGGAAUAAUAAUCUAGGACUUCGGUUCUAUUUUGUUGGUUUCUAGAUCUGGAGUAAUGAUAGAUAGGGAUCGUUGGGGGUGCUAGUAUUGGCCGGCCAGAGGUGAAAUUCUUGGAUUCGGUCAAGACUAACUUAUGCGAAAGCAUUCACCAAGGAGGUCCUUUUUAAUCAAGAACGAAAGUUGGGGGAUCGAAGACGAUCAGAUACCGUCGUAGUCUCAACUAUAAACUAUGCCAACUAGAGAUGGGUGAACGUUGCAUUUUCGACUUCAUCCGCAUCUUAUGAGAAAUCAAAGUCUUUGGGUUCCGGGGGGAGUAUGGUCGCAAGGCUGAAACUUAAAGGAAUUGACGGAAGGGCACCACCAGGAGUGGAGCCUGCGGCUUAAUUUGACCCAACACGGGAAAACUUACCAGGUCCGGACAUAGUGAGGAUUGACAGAUUGAAGAUCUUUCUUGAUCCUAUGGGUGGCGGUGCAUGGCCGUUCUUAGUUGGUGGUGUGAACUGUCUGGUUAAUUCCGUUAACGAACGAGACCUCGACCUGCUAAAUAGUUUGGCAAAUUCUUCGGGAUUUGUACACGCUUCUUAGAGGGACUAUCGGUGACUUAGGCGAUGGGAGUUCGAGGCAAUAACAGGUCUGUGAUGCCCUUAGAUGUUCUGGGCCGCACGCGCGCUACACUGAUUGGUUCAUCGAGUUUACAACCUCGACCGAUAGGUCCGGGUAAUCUUCUCAACACCAGUCGUGCUGGGGAUAGACCAUUGUAAUUAUUGGUCUUCAACGAGGAAUUCCUAGUAAACGCAAGUCAUCAACUUGCAUUGAUUACGUCCCUGCCCUUUGUACACACCGCCCGUCGCUACUACCGAUUGAAUGGCUUAGUGAGCUCUCUGGACUGUUGCGAGUCGUGGGCAACCUCGACUUGUUUACGGGAAGGAGAUCAAACUUGAUCAUUUAGA
rnacentral:rRNA from 1 species